AGGAUUAGGAUUUUAUUAGGAUUUGAUUAGGAUUUAAUUUAGGAUUAGGGUUUGGUUAGGAUUUGAUUUAGGAUUAGGAUUUGGUUAGGAUUUGAUUUAGGGUUAGGAUUUGAUUAGGAUUUGGUUUAGGAUUUAGAAUUAAGAUUGGAAUUUGAUUAGGAUUUGAUUUAGAGUUAGGAUUUGAUUUAGGAUUAGGGUUUGAUUUAGGAUUUAGGAUUUGAUUAGGAUUUGAUUUAGGAUUAAUAUUUGGUUAGGAUUUGAUUUAGGAUUAGAGUUUGAUUAGGAUUUGGUUUAGGAUUUAGGAUUAGGAUUAGGAUUAGGAUUAGGAUUUGGUUAAGAUUUGAUUUAGGAUUAGAGUUUAGAGUUUGGUUAGGGUUUGAUCAAGAUUUGAUUUAGGGUUUAGGAUUUUAUUUGAAUUUAUUUAGGAUUUAAGAUUUAGUUAGUUUUUGGCCUAAAGUUUGAAUGAAGUAAGAUUUCAAUUAGGAUUAAAUUAAGAUUGAAUUGAGAUGUAUUUGAAAUAUGUUUGUAAUCAUUCUAAUAUUUCUUUAAGAUUUCUUAUUGAUUCUUUGGAAUUCCUUUGAGGUUUCUCUGAAUUUGAUUAAAGCUUGUUCAGCAUUGUUAGUGUUC
rnacentral:lncRNA from 1 species